rnacentral:sRNA from 1 species
GGCUGGAGCCCCAUUCAAUCAGUCAACGAUUCACGAAUUAUUUUGACAUAUAUUAAGCAAUGACUUCUCCAGGCCUCAUACUGGGGAUAAAAGUAUCAGUAGGCCACAGACACCUUUAGGAUUUUAUGAUACGGUUGGCUGGAGAUGGAGUGGGAGCCGUGAAUAUCUCUGUGAUGAAUUCCACUGGUGGCAGUAGCAGUGGCGGUGGCAUUGGGCUGACCCUCGGGGGAACCAUGGGCAGCAAUGCCCUGAGCUUCUCCAGCAGUGCGGGUCCUGGGCCCCUGAAGGCUUAUUCCAUCCGGACCGCAUCCGCCAGUCGCAGGAGUGCCCGCAACUGAGCCACCUCCCACCACUCCAUUCCCCCGGCUACCGCCCACAAUCACAAGAAGCUUCCCACCCCUGCCUCCCAUGCCUGGUCCUAAGACAGUGAGACAGUCUGGAAAGUGAUGUCAGAAUAGCUUCCAAUAAAGCAGCCUCAUUCUGAGGCCUGAGUGAUCCA